rnacentral:rRNA from 1 species
CCUACGGGUGGCAGCAGUAGGGAAUCUUCCACAAUGGGCGAAAGCCUGAAGGAGCAACGCCGCGUGGGUGAAGACUGCCUUCGGAUCGUAAAACUCUGUUGUUAGAGAAGAAAGUGCGUGAGAGUAACUGUUCAUGCUUUGACGGUAUCUAACCAGAAAGCCACGGCUAACUACGUGCCAGCAGCCGCGGUAAUACGUAGGUGGCAAGCGUUAUCCGGUUUUAUUGGGCGUAAAGGGAACGCAGGCGGUUUGUUAAGUCUGAUGUGAAAGUCUUCGGCUUAACCGGAGUAGUGCAUUGGAAACUGGGAGACUUGAGUGCAGUAGAGGAAAGUGGAAUUCGAUGUGUAGCGGUGAAAUGCGUAGAUAUAUGGAAGAACACCAGUGGCGAAGGCGGCUCUCUGGUCUGUAACUGACGCUGAGGUUCGAAAGCGUGGGUAGCAAACAGGAUUAGAUACCCGAGUAGUC